rnacentral:piRNA from 1 species
UAGGUAAUUAGCCUUUCCCCAACUGACCUU